rnacentral:tRNA from 1 species
GCUUUUUUAGUAUAACGAGAACGCUGGCCUUGUAAGCCAGAAGUGAACCCGGGGUUCAUAAAGCA